rnacentral:rRNA from 1 species
AGGGUUUGAUCAUGGCUCAGAUUGAACGCUGGCGGUAGGCUUAACACAUGCAAGUCGUGCGAGAAAGUAUCUUCGGAUAUGAGUAGAGCGGCGGACGGGUGAGUAACGCGUAGGAAUCUACCUAGUAGAAGGGGAUAGCCCGGGGAAACUCGGAUUAAUACCGUAUACCUCCUUCGGGAGAAAGAAGGCCUCUCUUUGAAGCUUUCGCUAUUAGAUGAGCCUGCGUAAGAUUAGCUUGUUGGUGAGGUAAAGGCUCACCAAGGCGACGAUCUUUAGCGGGUCUGAGAGGACGAUCCGCCACAUUGGGACUGAGACACGGCCCAGACUCCUACGGGAGGCAGCAGUGGGGAAUAUUGGACAAUGGGCGCAAGCCUGAUCCAGCCAUACCGCGUGUGUGAAGAAGGCCCUAGGGUUGUAAAGCACUUUAAGUUGGGAAGAAAAGUUAUUGGUUAAUACCCAAUAACCGUGACAUUACCAUCAGAAUAAGGACCGGCUAAUUCCGUGCCAGCAGCCGCGGUAAUACGGAAGGUCCAAGCGUUAAUCGGAAUUACUGGGCGUAAAGCGCGCGUAGGUGGUUUAUUAAGUUGGAUGUGAAAUCCCCGGGCUCAACCUGGGAACUGCAUCCAAAACUGAUUCACUAGAGUACGAUAGAGGGAGGUAGAAUUCACAGUGUAGCGGUGGAAUGCGUAGAUAUUGUGAAGAAUACCAAUGGCGAAGGCAGCCUCCUGGAUCUGUACUGACACUGAGGUGCGAAAGCGUGGGUAGCGAACAGGAUUAGAUACCCUGGUAGUCCACGCCGUAAACGAUGUCAACUAGCUGUUGGAAAACUAUGUUUUUCAGUGGCGCAGCUAACGUAGUAAGUUGACCGCCUGGGGAGUACGGCCGCAAGGCUAAAACUCAAAUGAAUUGACGGGGACCCGCACAAGCGGUGGAGCAUGUGGUUUAAUUCGAUGCAACGCGAAAAACCUUACCUAUACUUGACAUACUUGGAAUGCUUUGUAAUGAAGCAGUGCCUUCGGGAGCCAAGAUACAGGUGCUGCAUGGCUGUCGUCAGCUCGUGUCGUGAGAUGUUCCGUUAAGUCGGAUAACGAGCGCAACCCUUACCCUUAUUUGCCAGCGAUUCGGUCGGGAACUAUAAGGGGACUGCCGGUGAUAAACCGGAGGAAGGUGAGGACGACGUCAAGUCAUCAUGGCCCUUACGUAUAGGGCUACACACGUGCUACAAUGGAGAAUACAGACGGACGCUAAGCCGCGAGGUGGUGCUAAUCCUAGAAAAUUCUUCGUAGUCCGGAUUGGAGUCUGCAACUCGACUCCAUGAAGUCGGAAUCGCUAGUAAUCGCGAAUCAGCAUGUCGCGGUGAAUACGUUCUCGGGUCUUGUACACACCGCCCGUCAUACCAUGGAAGUGGAUUGCACCAGAAGUAGAUAGUCUAACCUUCGGGAGGGCGUUUACCACGGUGUGCUUCAUGACUGGGGUAAAGUCAUAACAAGGUAACCGUA